AGUCGUAACAAGGUAACCGUAGGUGAACCUGCGGUUGGAUCAUUAACAAAACUGUUGUCCCAAUUUUUUAAAUUGGUGAUGACGUUCUACACCUUGUGAACUGUAACCGCACAAGGGGCAAGUGUCCUAACAGUCUGUUGGGAAGCUUGCCUUUUUACUUUACACUAUGUCUGAGAAUACAUUCUUUAAUAAGGAAAUAACUUUUGGUAACGAAUUUCUUGGCUCUCGCAACGAUGAAGAACGCACCGAAAUGCGAUACGUAUCAUGAAUUGCAGAACUCUGAAUGAUAAAUGUUUGAACGCACAUUGCGCCAGCCUUUGGUUGGCAUGUCUGUCUGAGAAUCUUUAAAGUUUUUUCAACUACAAACUGUUUAUUUGUCAGUUGGCUCCUGACACUUCCACUCACUCUAGUAGGGUGGUCUGUUAAAACACUUCAAACAUCAAAUGCUUAGGGUGUUUAUGACAAAGUCAUACGCACAUUUCUAGGAAAAAAAACUUGGUCUCAGAUCAGACAGGAGGACCCGCUGAACUUAAGCAUAUCAAUAAGCGGAGGAAAAGAAACUAACAAGGAUUCCCCUAGUAACGGCGAGUGAAGUGGGAAUAGCUCAAAUUUAAAAUCUACCUCAAAAGGGUCGAAUUGUAGUUUCGAGAAGUGUUUUCGGGUCUAGAGCAAGUUAAAGUCCCCAGGAUUUGGGCAUCACAGAGGGUGAUAAUCCCGUGAAUGACUUGCGCCUAGGCCUGUGUGAUACACUUUCAACGAGUCAGGUGGUUUGGGAAUGCAGCCUAAAAUGGGUGGUAAAUACCAUCUAAAGCUAAAUAAUGGCGAGAGACCGAUAGCGAACAAGUACCGUGAGGGAAAGAUGAAAAGAACUUUGAAAAGAGAGUUAAAAAGUGCUUGAAAUUGUCAAAAGGGAAGCGCUCAACACCAGUGAUGAGGUAGGAAAUCAGCAAUCAUUAUGAUUGUGCAUUUUCUUGCUUCGAGUCAACAUCAGUUUGGUUUGCGGGACAAGGACCAAGGGAGGAGCCUAGCUCAAUCUUGGUUUAUACCGCGGGCUAGACUGAGGCCUGCUUAAAGGAUGUUGAC
rnacentral:rRNA from 1 species